rnacentral:lncRNA from 1 species
CAGGUUUUCUUUAAACUAUGUAUACAAAUGUAUAUUUUUAUCUACUAAUAUGUUGGGUAGAACAUGGGUAGACAGUUGGUGUGUAAUAAACAGAUGAGAGGCCUCGUUGUUGUUUGAUUGAGUCAUCUAGCGGAGUUUAGAUGACGACCACUGGCUAUUCUAGACAGUCUUGUGGAAACAUUAGCAGGUUCGCCACCUGUAGGUGUUAAUGAACUUGGGUGUUCAUUCGCUGUACUCCAUCCCCCUCAUGGUUGCCUUAUUUGACUUAUAUUGCUGAGGUACCCCCGAAGCAUGUGUUGUCGCCCCGAUGAAAUAUUCUUAGACUAGGUCCCUUAUGUUAGUUGUUUUAGGGACAUUAAAGUGAGAAUAACGGGAAUGGGUAAUUGGGUUAUUGUUGGUUGGUGAAAAUUAAAUAUGAUAUUUAUUGUGGGUUGAAAACCCUAUAUGCUCACCAGGCUCCCAAGCCUGACCCACUCAGUUUUAAAUUGUAUUACAGGUAGUGGCGGAAGGGCAUGAGAUGGAUGAACCAUCAAGUUGUUUUGUUUACAAGUCUGCAUAUGUUUAUAUUUGUUAUAUGACUUGUAAUGUAUUCGUUUAUGCUUAUUGGUCUGUAUCGGAACAUGACACCCCGAGUUUUGAUUAUAAUGAAAAUACAUUUCUUUUAUGAAAUGCUUCGGUAAACAAUGUUUUAUCAUGUUUUGUUUUUGGGAACAAAUUCCGCAACUCUUUCAAAUCAAAAGGAUUUACUCUGAAAAUAUUUAAAAGCAUAAAUGAAAAUCGGUCUUUUCUGGCCGAGAUUUUGGGGAUGUCACAGUUGGUAUCAGAGCAUUAGUUUAAGCGAACUAGGAAUUUGUAGGAUUUCUAGACUUAAACUUAGAAUGCUAAGUGAAGUUUUGAGAUGUGUGUCUGUUGUGAUUUAGACACGAGCACUAGUUUAUUUUAGGAAAGUUGCCUAAAAUGCUUUAUGUGCUAAAUGUUAUAUGUUGCCAUAUAUGAUAUUAUUUGUUCGGAUCUAUGGUCUGUUGCCGACCGGAUCUAGAAACCUUAUGUGUGUAGGAUUCUAAGCGUACGUCUACGAUAUUAGAACUAGCAUGUAAACGUUUCGGAGUGAUAAGGAUGAUUUGAAUAUCUAUCAUGAUUGAGGAUCUAAUUUCACCUUAUUCGGUGUGUAGAUCAAAAUGGUGAGAACAAGAAGUGGAGUUGGAAAUGCUGACGAAAACAGGAAUCAACCACCAGUGAUUGAGCCAAUACCUGUCGUAGCAGCAGCACCUGAGCCAAUAACCAUGGCUGGUGUGCAAUUGAUGAUUCAGACGAUGUUGGAUCGUCAGAUGGAUGAAACUAGACGGUUGCUUCAACAAAAUCGUGAAGAACUGUCGAUUCGUGUGGAAGAGCCUGAAUUAAAUGAAGGGCACUCGGAAGGUGGAAACUUCAGUGGGUCUGUUGGUCCAGCCAACCCACCGAUAGUUAGGCAAGAUAACCAUGAUGGAAGGAAUGAUGGAAUGGGAUGCAAGUACAAGGACUUUUUGACUUGCAAACCAUCGACCUUCAAUGGAAAGGAGGAUCCGAUUGGGGUUAUGGAUUGGAUCUCCGAAAUGGAGCUAGCCUUCAUGACGUGUGGCUGUAGAGGUAAGUUGCAGACUAUCUAUGCCGUGCGUCAAUUCCGAGGUGGAGCCGUUCGUUGGUGGAACACUCUAGGGAAGACCUUAAGCCCUAAUGAGCCACUGCAAUUGUCAUGGGCAGAGUUCUUGGUGCAGUUCAAGCGCAAGUUCUGCUCGGCUCAAAAUCUGUUGGAGUUGGAGAAUAAGUUUUUGACAUUGACGAAGGGUAGCAUGUCAGUUGAUGAAUACACCAAUAACUUCACCGAUAAGAUGGAGUUUGCCUUGCGUAUCGUUCCAGACGAGCUGACAAAGGUGGAUCGGUAUGCGAAGGGACUUCCAUGGGAGUACGAGGUGCCAGUACGUCAGGCACUUACUCUAGAGGCAGCUAUCUGGGCUGCCAAGUCUGUGGAGAACAUGAUCAAGGGGAGAACCACCGACAAGGUUGAUGUUGGUGAGAAAAGAAAGUUUGAGGGAACAUCUGGUUCCGGUAAGAAAGGAAAAUUUUCGAAAUCUGAUUCGAAAAAGUUUGGAGGAAAAGGAGGCGAAGCAAAGUGGUGUGAUAAGUGUAAGAAAAAGCACUUUGGGAAAUGUAGCGAGGGUGUAACCUGCUACAAGUGUGGAAAGGUCGGACAUUUUGCCAAUGAAUGUCCGAACAACAAAAGGAUGUGUUUUGGGUGUAAUGAAAAGGGGCACAUUUUAAAAGUCUGUCUGAAGAAGAAGGAGGCAGCAUAGCCCAACAUUCCACCAAAACUGAAGGCGAGAGCCUUCCAGAUGACACUUGAGGCUGCGAAAGAUGAAGCUGAUGUCGCUUCAGGUACCUUUCUCGUAAACGAAUUACCUGCUCAUAUAUUGUUUGAUUCUGGAGCCAACUACUCCUUUAUUUCGCAUGAGUUUGGUAGAAAGCUAGCUUUGCCUAUUGAUAGACUAGAUAAUGCUUUAUUAGUCGAAGUAGCUAGUGGCAAGUUUGUACCUGUUAGCCAUCGUAUGAAAAACGUCUUGAUCGACCUUAAUGGGAAUAAGUUUCACGAGGCGUUAUUGCCUAUCGAACUUAAUGGUUUCGACAUCGUCUUGGGAAUGGAUUGGCUUAGCGCCAAUGAUGCCGAAAUUUUAUGCAAGAAAAAGAUAGUUAAAGUAAACCCGCCUGGAAAAGAUUCGUUUAUGGUGUAUGGGGACAAACGGCGAGUGAAUUCUGGGAUCAUUUCUCUAAUGAAAGCCAGAAAGUGUUUGACCAAGGGAUGUACAUCAUAUUUAGCAUUUGUGAUUGAUGCUAAGAAGGAAAAGAAGGUGAUGCAGAGCAUUCCAGUGGUGUGUGAUUUUCCGGAAGUGUUCCCCGAGGAUCUUCCUGGAUUACCACCUGAUAGACAAGUGGAGUUCAGAAUAGACUUUUUACUAGGAACCACGCCAAUAGCAAAAGCACCUUAUCGAUUAGCAUCGACGGAGAUGAAGGAGCUCUGGGGAGCUCCGGUGUUAUUUGUGAAGACAAAGGUUGUUGGACAAAGGUUUCAUUAGACCUAGUUCAUCGCCCUGGGGAGCUCCGGUGUUAUUUGUAAAGAAGAAAGAUGGAAGUAUGAGAAUGUGCAUCGAUUACAGAGAGCUGAACAAGGCAACAAUAAAGAAUAGAUAUCCGUUGCCGAGGAUUGAUGACCUGUUUGAUCAAUUGCAAGGUUCGAGCUAUUUCUCGAAGAUCGAUCUUAGGUCAGGAUAUCAUCAGCUGAAAGUAAGAGAGCAAGAUAUCGAGAAGACUGCAUUCAGAACUAGAUAUGGACACUACGAGUUCUUGGUUAUGUCGUUUGGACUAACCAAUGCUCCAGCAGCGUUCAUGGAUUUGAUGAAUAGGGUUUGUAAUCCUUUCCUUGAUAAAUCCGUGAUAGUGUUCAUAGACGACAUUCUGAUCUACUCGAAAAGCCAGGAGGAGCAUGGCAGACACUUGCGAGAAGUGUUAGAAGUUUUGAAGAAGGAGAAGCUUUAUGCGAAGUUCUCCAAAUGUGAUUUUUGGAUUCGUGAGGUCCAAUUCUUGGGUCACGUGGUCAACCAAGAAGGGAUAAUGGUUGAUCCAGCGAAGAUCGAAGCUGUGACGAAGUGGGAACAACCGAAAAGUCCCACGGAGAUUCGAAGCUUUUUAGGAUUAGCCGGAUAUUACCGAAGGUUUAUCCAAGGCUUUUCUUCGAUUGCUACUCCAUUGACAGCUUUGACCCACAAAGGAGCUACUUAUGCUUGGAGUGAGAAGCAUAAAGAAGCAUUCGAGAAGUUAAAGAAGAAGCUAUGCGAGGCACCGAUACUUUCUCUACCCGAUGGAGUUGAAGACUUCGCUGUUUAUAGCGAUGCGUCUGGUGUUGGAUUGGGUUGUGUUUUGACCCAAAGAGAAAAGGUGAUAGCAUAUGCGUCUCGACAGCUGAAAGAGCAUGAAAAGAAUUACCCGACUCAUGAUUUGGAGUUGGCAGCGGUAGUUUUCGCUCUGAAAAUAUGGAGGCAUUACCUCUAUGGCACGAAGUGCAAACUUUUCACUGAUCAUAAGAGUCUCCAAUACCUCUUUAAUCAGAAAGAAUUGAAUAUGAGGCAACGACGCUGGCUAGAAUUACUUAAAGACUACGACUGCGAGAUACUUUACCACCCCGGUAAAGCUAAUGUUGUUGCUGAUGCUCUCAGUCGGAAAGUCAAUCUUGAAAGGAAGAGGCCAAGAGCGUUGAGAAUUGAAGUUGUCUCGACUAUUGUGGAAAGUAUAAAGAAAGCUCAAGAGGAAGCUUCUGAGAAAAAUGACCGAAAGGAGGAACGUUUGGGUAAAACGUUGGUGUUUGGUACUAACGGUCAUGGACUGAAGGUAUUCCAAGAUCGUAUUUGGGUACCUAAGUCAGGAGGAAUUAGGGAUCUUCUGAUGGAAGAAGCUCACAAAACCAUGUACUCAAUUCAUCCGGGUAGCACUAAAAUGUAUAGGGACCUGAAACCCUACUACUGGUGGCCGACGAUGAAGCUUGAUGUUGCAAAGUAUGUGGCCGAGUGUGUGACUUGUGCGAGAGUCAAGACACAACAUCAGAAACCUUACGGGAGUUUAGAACCAUUGCCUGUGCCUAUGGGUAAGUGGGAAGACAUUGCUAUGGAUUUUGUCACUAAACUGCCCAGAACAAAGAAUGGUCACGACAUGAUUUGGGUGGUCGUUGAUCGAUUCACUAAGAGUGCGCAUUUCAUAGCGGCCAGGGAGAAAUGGUCUAUGGAAAAGCUUGCGAAUUCUUACGUGAAGGAAAUUGUGAGGCUUCACGGUGUUCCGUUAACGAUUGUAUCGGAUCGUGAUAGCCGUUUCACCUCAAGGUUUUGGAAAAGUCUACAAGAGGAAAUGGGUACCAAGUUAUGUUUAAGCACAGCUUACCAUCCGCAGACUGAUGGUCAGAGUGAAAGAACAAUACAAACACUUGAAGAUAUGCUGAGAGCAUGUACCUUGGAAUUCCUAGGUAAUUGGGAUGAACAUUUACCGUUGGUAGAAUUUUCCUAUAAUAAUAGUUUUCACUCGAGCAUUAAGAUGGCACCUUAUCAAGCUUUGUAUGGACAGAAGUGUCGUACGCCGUCUUGUUGGCUUGAGGCUGGGGAAAAGCAGUUUAUGGGACCGGAGAUGGUUCAUCAAACUGCUGAAAAGUUGAAAAUAAUUAGGGAAAGAAUGUUAGCAGCUCAAGAUCGUCAAAAGAGCUAUGCUGACAAAAAGCGAAGACCGAUGACUUUUGAGGUUGGAGAUUCGGUUUUGCUUAAAGUCUCGCCGUGGAAGGGACUUAUAAGAUUUGGUAAAAGGGGAAAGUUGAGUCCAAGGUUUAUUGGACCGUUUAAAGUUCUUCAGAGGAUUGGGAACCAAGCUUACAAGCUCGAAUUACCCGAAGAACUGAAUGGAAUUCACAACACCUUUCAUGUGUGUUAUUUGAGGAAGUUCACGGGAGAAGUUCCCGAUAUAAUUCCAAUUUCUGAAUUGAGAAUUGAUGAGAACAAAAGGUUGAUUGAAGAACCAGAGGCAAUUGUUGACCGAAAGACUAAGAAGUUGCGACGCAAAAUGGUUGGGUUAGUGCUUGUCCGAUGGAAACACACGAAUGGGCCGAAUCUCACCUGGGAGACGGAGAGUGACAUGUUGAGUCGCUAUCCGCAUUUGUUUGUUGAUGUGUGAUUCUGGGGACGGAAUCAUUCUAAGGUGGAGAGAAUUGUAACGCCUGUGUUUCCGGGCUUGCCACUUUUAUCAAUGUAAUAGUCUAGGUUAACCUUUGUAACCCGUUUUGAAAUAAUAAGAUUGUAUUAUUUGAGUAUUAUGUGUUUUGGUGCUUAAUUGCUUAAUUAUGUGGUUUGAUUAAUUAAGAAUAAAAAUAAGCGUCAAAAUUUAAGUGUAAAAUAAACUUAAUGUCUUUGAAUAAUGUUGUAGUAGUUGAAACGAGGUUUCCAAAUAUAUAUAGAACGCCCAAAUCUGACUUCGUAUGAGGAAGUUAUGAUUUAUCGAAGUUUCGGCUUAGCGGUAUGCAGCCUAUUUUACUCGAUUUAAGAUCGACCGGUUUUUAGCCGAAGCACUCUAAAUGAGAAUCGAAGAUCUCAUUGUUGGUAUUGAAACGAUAAAAAGUUAGGCGAGAACGGACGUCAAACGAAGAAGUUAUGAAUUUAUAACGAAGUUUUUCUGUCGCGGCCUAUUAAAAAUAAAUUAUAAAAAUAAAGUUGAAAUUAGUCGAGGGAGUCUAAACGAAAGUUGUAGAGCGUAGUCUCACCUUCGUGUGGAUAUAAAGAACGUCGAAAACAGAGUUCGUGUGAAGAAGUUAUGAAUAUCCGAAGUUUGAUAAAUAUUUUGUAUUUAUUUUUAAAUGGAAAUUCGGAAGCAUUAUCUGAAGCCCAGUCACCGGUCCGAUCCGACUUACACCCCGCGUAAGCGAGUACACCCCGCGUACUCCGAGGGAUGUCAACACCCGCACUCGAGUCUUCGGAUACAUAAGCAGUGACGUAUUCGGACCAGUAUGCCCCGCGUACUGGCGUACUCCCCGCGUACUCCGAGGCUCCAGCCUCCUAUAAAUAGGAUGCGAGGGCAGCCGACCAAAUUGCCAAUUUUCUCUCUUCUCUCUCCCGUUUUGCAUCGUUUUGCGUGCCAGAAAUAUCCCGAAGCCCCGGUAUCAUACUCUAGCCCCGAGGCAAGUCCCGAGAUCCCGAAGAUCCCGAGAAGUGCGGUUCCCGAGUCGAAGCUCUGCCCGCGAGAAGUUCGAUUUUCGAGAAGAUCUUCCAGAUCUGCUGUGGAUUACUACUUCUAUAAGCCGUAGUGCUGUCCGAUCAUCUUCUGAUCAAGUGAGUGUGUAGUUAUUUCUUCUAAUACAAUAAUACGAAGUAUUUUAUAUAAAAAUACGUGCUAUGUGUAUAUAUUUGGUUGUGUUAUGUGUGAAUGAGUAUUCACUCUCUUCUAUCUUAUAGAUCUGCUUAUUUCUUUAUGAGAUAUGUGUUAUGUGUGUGUGUGCCUCAUCUGUUAUGUGAUAUAUGUGUUGAUUAAAGCAUGCUAUACAGGUUUUCUUUAAACUAUGUAUACAAAUGUAUAUUUUUAUCUACUAAUAUGUUGGGUAGAACAUGGGUAGACAGUUGGUGUGUAAUAAACAGAUGAGAGGCCUCGUUGUUGUUUGAUUGAGUCAUCUAGCGGAGUUUAGAUGACGACCACUGGCUAUUCUAGACAGUCUUGUGGAAACAUUAGCAGGUUCGCCACCUGUAGGUGUUAAUGAACUUGGGUGUUCAUUCGCUGUACUCCAUCCCCCUCAUGGUUGCCUUAUUUGACUUAUAUUGUUGAGGUACCCCCGAAGCAUGUGUUGUCGCCCCGAUGAAAUAUUCUUAGACUAGGUCCCUUAUGAUUAGUUGUAUUAGGGACAUUAAAGUGAGAAUAACGGGAAUGGGUAAUUGGGUUAUUGUUGGUUGGUGAAAAUUAAAUAUGAUAUUUAUUAUGGGUUGAAAACCCUAUAUGCUCACCAGGCUCCCAAGCUUGACCCACUCAGUUUGAAAUUUUAUUACAGGAAGUGGCGGAAGGGCAUGAGAUGGAUGAACCAUCAAGUUGUUUUGUUUACAAGUCUGCAUAUGUUUAUAUUUGUUAAAUGACUUGUAAUGUAUUCGUUUAUGCUUAUUGGUCUGUAUCGGAACAUGACACCCCGAGUUUUGAUUAUAAUGAAAAUACAUUUCUUUUAUGAAAUGCUUCGGUAAACAUUGUUUUAUCAUGUUUUGUUUUUGGGAACAAAUUCCGCAACUCUUUCAAAUCAAAAGGAUUUACUCUGAAAAUAUUUAAAAGCAUAAAUGAAAAUCGGUCUUUUCUGGCCGAGAUUUUGGGGAUGUCACAGGUCCAAACCUAGACCGGAUGGACCCGGACCCGGAAAACCCAG